UUUUCUUUUUACAACACAGGAGAUUCCCACCAAAGUGGAAUGAACGAAGAAUCAUCAUCUGAACGCAGACGCUGUGCUUGUGAGAGGAUCAGAUCAAGAUGUCGAUGUUCAAGCUGGUAAAAAAAAGCUUCCUGCCAGGGACACUGAAGAAGGAAUCUCAAGUGCAAGCUUUUAUGUAUUAUCAAGAGUUCCUCCACACAGCAACCAAAGAUGACCUGCUCCUGACCUCUACACAAAAGCAAG